rnacentral:rRNA from 1 species
AGGCUUAACACAUGCAAGUCGAGGGGCAGCAUUCUUCUAGCAAUAGAAGAGAUGGCGACCGGCGCACGGGUGAGUAACACGUAUCCAACCUACCGAUAACUCCGGAAUAGCCUUUCGAAAGAAAGAUUAAUACCGGAUAGCAUACGAAUAUCGCAUGAUAUUUUUAUUAAAGAAUUUCGGUUAUCGAUGGGGAUGCGUUCCAUUAGUUUGUUGGCGGGGUAACGGCCCACCAAGACUACGAUGGAUAGGGGUUCUGAGAGGAAGGUCCCCCACAUUGGAACUGAGACACGGUCCAAACUCCUACGGGAGGCAGCAGUGAGGAAUAUUGGUCAAUGGGCGCGAGCCUGAACCAGCCAAGUAGCGUGAAGGAUGAAGGCUCUAUGGGUCGUAAACUUCUUUUAUAUGGGAAUAAAGUUUUCCACGUGUGGAAUUUUGUAUGUACCAUAUGAAUAAGGAUCGGCUAACUCCGUGCCAGCAGCCGCGGUAAUACGGAGGAUCCGAGCGUUAUCCGGAUUUAUUGGGUUUAAAGGGAGCGUAGGUGGAUUGUUAAGUCAGUUGUGAAAGUUUGCGGCUCAACCGUAAAAUUGCAGUUGAAACUGGCAGUCUUGAGUACAGUAGAGGUGGGCGGAAUUCGUGGUGUAGCGGUGAAAUGCUUAGAUAUCACGAAGAACUCCGAUUGCGAAGGCAGCUCACUAGACUGUUAC